rnacentral:lncRNA from 1 species
UGGGAUAUGUGCUUCGAGUAUUCAAAGUAUACAGGGUACAAUAAAACAAAUAACCAGAGCUUUUUAUAUACAUGUAAAAGGGCACUGCAAUCUGUAGCGUGCAGCCUGGAACAUUAUGGGUUGCUUCUUUUUGACAGGGACACCUAUGAGUCACCUACUUUUUCAAGGCUAUACUCCACCUUGGCAGCCAACAAGUCCAAAUAUGUGGUUUGAUUUUGGUCAAUACAAAACGACAAAAGUACAAAAAUUCUUUCUUUAUUAAGGUAGCUUACUAAGUGGAAAACAUCGAAAUCGAGCUAAUUUUUAAAUAUUAUACUGAGUUUUCAAUUCAGUAUUUAUCUGCACAUAAGCUAAAAAAUAAAUUUUUUCAUUGGGAUAGCUUUAUCAUGAAUAAUAUAUCUCUUUAGUACAAUAUUCAAAUUGAUUGUCACCAUUUUUCCAAACUGUGUACUCUGCUGUAUACUAAAUCUUUGAUAUAAGCGUCUUUCUUUUCAUUUCCAGCAAAGUUUUGUGGUGACCCUGGUAUACCUGCCCAAGGAAAAAGAGAAGGCAAAAGCUUUAUAUACCAGUCAGAGGUUUCAUUCAGCUGCAAUUUUCCUUUCAUAUUAGUGGGAUCAAGCACCAGAAUAUGUCAAGCAGAUGGCACUUGGAGUGGUUCAUCACCUCACUGCAUAGAGCCUACCCAAACCUCUUGUGAAAACCCAGGUGUGCCUCGGCAUGGAUCUCAGAACAAUACAUUCGGAUUUCAAGUAGGAAGUGUUGUACAGUUCCAUUGCAAAAAAGGACACCUUCUCCAAGGGUCUACAACACGCACCUGCCUCCCUGAUCUUACGUGGAGUGGGAUUCAGCCUGAAUGCAUACCCCACAGCUGUAAACAGCCAGAAACUCCUGCUCAUGCAAAUGUCGUAGGGAUGGACCUUCCAUCUCAUGGGUAUACACUGAUUUAUACCUGUCAGCCUGGCUUCUUCUUAGCAGGUGGAACAGAACAUAGAGUGUGUAGAUCCGAUAACACCUGGACUGGAAAAGUUCCCAUUUGUGAAGCUGGUUCUAAAAUAUUGGUGAAAGAUCCUAGACCUGCACUGGGAACACCCAGCCCAAAGCUAAGUGUUCCUGAUGAUGUAUUUGCCCAAAAUUAUAUAUGGAAAGGCUCUUACAAUUUCAAAGGAAGGAAACAACCCAUGACCUUAACAGUUACUAGUUUCAAUGCUUCCACUGGGAGAGUUAACGCAACACUGAGCAAUAGCAACAUGGAGCUGCUACUUUCAGGGGUAUAUAAAAGCCAGGAAGCUCGCCUAAUGUUACGCAUAUAUCUUAUUAAAGUACCUGCUCAUGCUUCUGUGAAGAAAAUGAAGGAAGAAAAUUGGGCAAUGGAUGGCUUUGUUUCUGCUGAGCCUGAUGGAGCUACUUAUGUAUUUCAAGGAUUUAUUCAAGGCAAAGAUUAUGGACAAUUUGGCCUACAAAGACUGGGACUGAAUAUGUCAGAAGGUUCAAAUUCUUCAAAUCAACCUCAUGGUACAAAUAGUAGUUCUGUAGCCAUUGCUAUUCUUGUGCCUUUUUUUGCACUUAUAUUUGCAGGAUUUGGAUUUUAUCUUUAUAAACAAAGGACUGCACCUAAAACACAGUAUACAGGAUGUUCAGUUCAUGAAAAUAACAAUGGCCAAGCAGCUUUUGAAAAUCCCAUGUAUGACACCAACGCAAAGUCAGUGGAAGGGAAGGCGGUACGAUUUGAUCCCAACUUGAACACGGUUUGCACAAUGGUAUAACGAGGCAACCUUUGCCUUCUUCAGAAGCUUGGAAAUCGACACACAAAACAGUGCACAUUUAGUUCACUGCUAAACAAAUUAAAGCACACUUUUCAGGACUUGCUGGGUCACCUUUUCCUGAGGAAUGAUACAGAAGAGUGUUUUUUCAUAAACUGGACCAUAAUUCUUCAUGUUUACCAUGGAGAGUUUUACAGAAAUUUGGCUGCACUCUGAGAGUGCUUACUCACAGUUUAUUUGCUUUUUUUAAAAAGGAGAUUAUUCUAAAAUAUAAACUUAUUUGCAUAUAUUGGAGGAGCAUCCACUAUCAGUAUUUCUGUGCUUUAUAAACUAUAUUAGAGGGACUGGGUUUAAAAAAAAAGAUAUAGGGUAGAAAUAAGAGCUAUACUUACAAGAGUCAAUAGAUCACUGACUUCUCUUUAACUGUCCUGAGCUACAUCACGCCCACAAAUCUGUCUUUCAUACCACUCUAUCUGCCAUUCAUUCUUGUUAAAUGAGGCAUUGUUUUCUUUAUUUAAGAUUGAGUUAUGACUUUAAAUGUUUAUGAGCUAGUUUAUGCCUCGGAAGACAUAAGGUUUCCCAUUCCAAUUUGAAUCUUUCUAUUUCUUUAGCAUCAUAUUGCUCUUCUUCUUUUAGACUGGUUGUCAUAGUUUCUGCAAAGGGCAAGUUCAUUGUGCUACCCUCCCAAUUCCCCCAUUAUGGAGUAACCAGUAUUAUUCAGUGAGC